CUGCAGCUCAAGUGGUGACCACUAUUAUUGGGCCUAAAACGUUCGUAGCCGGUUUGGUAAAUGCCUGGGUAAAUCGUGUAGCUUAACUAUACGAAUUCCGGGUAGACUGCCAAACUUGAGACCGGGAGAAGCUAGAGGCACUCCUGGGGUAGAGGUGAAAUUCUGUAAUCCUGGGGGGACCACCAGUGGCGAAGGCGUCUAGCUAGAACGGGUCUGACGGUGAGGAACGAAGCCCUGGGGCGCAAACCGGAUUAGAUACCCGCGUAGUCC
rnacentral:rRNA from 1 species